rnacentral:lncRNA from 1 species
GGGAAACGUAGUUCCCGCUUAGCUAGGUUGACAUGGUACAAAGCCACAUUACCACGCUAAGUGUGGCUUUGAUUUUUAGAAACCGCCUCAUGCUAAGUCUAGGGAAUACAGUGGUUGAAUGGGGUGAGCGCUGACCUUUAGCUAUUCUGGAGGAACAUGUCACUUUCACUUAUUUUCUUUCAUGUUUUCCCACCCAGUGCUAUGGACUCUGAUCGCCCAACCAGAGCAAACCCAGAAGGACAACUCUCCAAGCCUUUCAAUCACUCCCACUAACCCGUAUUGUGGACACACUAUUGUGAGGCCUACUAAGGAUGUACUGCUGAUGACCUUUUGAAGAGUGGCUAGUGGUUGGCCCAUGUAGGCUGAGCUCAGCUGGUCCAUCCUUCUUGGACCCACAGACUCCCUGGGGCAUGUUCUUCUCAUGAUGAUGACUGCAACACAAGAGGGCAAGACAUCCUACACAAGCACAUUUCAAGAUUUUGCUCACAUCAUCUCUGCUAAAAUUCCUUUAUCCAAAGCAAGGAACACAACUGGUUCAAAUAAGCACAGGCCUCCAAAUAUCCAGAUCUAAAAAUGGAGUGUUCACCUCAAGCUCCUUAUUUAUCACUGCAAGAGAUUCUGGGGCUGGCAGCUAGUGACAUGAGCUGGAAUCCUCUUCCUGAAAUUGCUGUCUUCUUGGAUGGGCUCUCCACAUCUUCCACCACGAAGUAAAAACAAUUCUUGUGGGUGCCAGUGGACCUGCUCUGCAGACCCAGGCUCCUCUCCCAUGGAGCAUCCCAAGUCUGUCCUUAUGGGAAGAAGCAGGAGCCCUGUCUGGCUGUACCCCAAGCUGCUUUCUCUGGACCAAUGCUGUCAGCGAUAGAGGGAACCCUUCCACCAUCAUGUGAAGAAGCCUGGUCUAGCCUGCUGGAGGAUGAGAGAUCACAUGGAAUGAGGCCACAAUCGUUCCAGCCAAAGCCCCAGUAAUAGAAUUAAGAUCAUCCAAGACCAUGGCAUCCCGCCUGAGAAGUUCAGAUGAGAAGGGCCACCUGAACAACCAACAGAAUCUUAAAAAGUAAAAAAUGAGUGUUGCCACUAUGCAUCUAUUAGAAUGGCAGAAAUCGAAGACACUGACAACAACAAAUGCUGGUGAGGAUGUGGAGCAACAGGAACUCUCACUCACUGAAGAUGGAAAUGCAAAAUAGUGCAGCUACUUUGGAAAACAGCUACUUUGGCUGUUUCUUACAACACUAAAUAUGCUAUUAUUAUAUGAUCCAGAAGUUUUGCUCCUUAGCACUUACCCAAAAAAGUUGAAAACUUAUGUACACACAAAAACCUGCACAUGGAUAUUCACAGCAGUUUUUGAUAUGGUUUGGCUCUGUGUCCCCACAGAAAUCUCAUCUUGUAUUUGUAUAAAUUUAUGGGGUACAAGAGUAAUUUUGUUAGCAUGCAUAGACAUGCAUAGACUGCAUAGCUCCCAUAAUUCCCACAUGUUGUGGGAGGGACCAGGUGGGAGGUGAUUGAAUCAUAGGGGCAGGUCUUUCCUGUCUUGUUCUUGUGAUAGUGAGUGGGUCUCACAAGAUCUGAUGGUUUUAAAUAACAGGAAUUUAUCUGCACAAGCUCUUUUAUUUUGCCUGCUGCCAUCCACAUAAGAUGUGACUUGCUCCUCCUUGCCUUCUGCCAUGAUUGUGAGGCCUCCCCAGCCAUGUGGAACUGUAAAUCCAAUUAAAUCUCUUUCUUUUGUAAA